rnacentral:rRNA from 1 species
UACGUAGGGUCCGAGCGUUGUCCGGAAUUAUUGGGCGUAAAGAGCUCGUAGGCGGUUUGUCGCGUCUGCUGUGAAAUCCCGAGGCUCAACCUCGGGUCUGCAGUGGGUACGGGCAGACUGGAGUGCGGUAGGGGAGAAUGGAAUUCCUGGUGUAGCGGUGGAAUGCGCAGAUAUCAGGAGGAACACCGAGGGCGAAGGCAGUUCUGUGGGCCGUAACUGACGUUGAGGAGCGAAAGCGUGGGGAGCGAACAGG